rnacentral:lncRNA from 1 species
AUUUAAAGCCCAGCCCAGGGCUUCCUGUGCUUAGGUUAUCUCAGGCUGGGGCAUUGCUUCAGACCACACAGGAACAUGCCGAAAUAAUUUUUACUGGUUCCGCAAUAUAACGUGCAGCACAUGGGGAUAGGAGCCGUGCUGUGCUGACACGCUGCCUCAGCACGCCGGCAUGCUGCAGGGCUGCCAGCACACGGCUCUGCAGCAAGGCAGGCAUUGGGAUGCAGGGGUGAUGUGCAUUGGGAUGCAGGAGGAUGCGCAUUGGGAUUCAGUGAGGAUGUGCACUGGGAUGCAGGAGGACACACACUGAGGAUGGGAUGCAGUGUGACUGGGACUGGAGGAGCUGAGGACGGAGAAUCUCAGACUGGGGCUGGCUGCUAUGAUGAUGCUGGGACAAGGGACAGAUCUGUCACUGAGAGCACAGGAGAAAGCAUGGUGGAGUGGUUGGAUGUAGGGGAUCUCCUGCCUGCACACUUCCAUGCCAGCACAGAUGGACCCUACACAAGGGUCCCCAGGCCCUCGUGGGAUGCUGUGGCGCCUGAUCAAGCCCAGAAUGGGACAUGUGACCCUUGCAGAGAUGUAGGAGGGACCAUGGGGAUGCUGGAGGCCAGGGCCUGGAGCCUGGGCUGGGGAUUUGGGCAGCAGCUGAAAUCCAGAUAAAGCGAGGCUGGUUCUUGCUAUAAAUCCCCACUCUGAGGCAGUGAGGGUUUCUUGGGGGUCCCUGAGGACUUCCUCCUCCACAGCCAGGUGGAUAUUGGCAGCGGGGCUGAGGACUGUCCUGACAUUGGCAGUAGUGAUGCAAACAAGUCCCACCACCUGAAACACCUGACACAGUGUCUGGGUUGGGUGUGCAAGGGCUCCUCCCAUGGGUCACAUCCCGCACCAUGGCUCAGACCACAGUCACUUGGCAGGGGCACAGCUGGCCACACAGGCAGCAGUGUGUGGUGGAGUUUGGGAUGGCUCCUGAAUCCCCUUCCACCCACAUUCAGUGCAGUGCAUUCACUGCUCUGCCCUGCUCCUGGCCAGCCCAGCCCUGCUGGCACAUGGGGACAACACCAUCCUGCAUCCCUUGUGGUCAGGGGAUGGAUGGAUACACCCUGAGCACACACAUGCUUCCUCCCCUGCACCUUUUCCCUCACUCUUGGCUCAGCAUCCCCUC